rnacentral:lncRNA from 1 species
CCUUCCCCUCCUUCCCAUGGCAUCGCGCACCCCCGCCGGCCGUCGGAUUGAUCGAAAAUCCCACAAAAUCAAAAAAUCUAUUUUUUUCCUGUUUGACCGAAUUUUGUUCUCUCUUUUUCGGCCACCGGCGCCGUCGUUUGUAGCGUCUCACUCCUAGGUUUGGACCCCCACCUCUCUACCUAUUUUUUUCGAAGGUCAUGGCCACAAGUGAUCGGCCAAUGUUAGGAGAAAAUUCAAAGAAAGGGGGCAGUCCCUUG